rnacentral:rRNA from 1 species
AGACCCGAAACCCGGUGAUCUAGCCAUGGGCAGGUUGAAGGUUGGGUAACACUAACUGGAGGACCGAACCGACUAAUGUUGAAAAAUUAGCGGAUGACCUGUGGCUGGGGGUGAAAGGCCAAUCAAACCGGGAGAUAGCUGGUUCUCCCCGAAAGCUAUUUAGGUAGCGCCUCGUGAAUUCAUCUCCGGGGGUAGAGCACUGUUUCGGCUAGGGGGCCAUCCCGGCUUACCAACCCGAUGCAAACUGCGAAUACCGGAGAAUGUUAUCACGGGAGACACACGGCGGGUGCUAACGUCCGUCGUGAAGAGGGAAACAACCCAGACCGCCAGCUAAGGUCCCAAAGUCAUGGUUAAGUGGGAAACGAUGUGGGAAGGCCCAGACAGCCAGGAUGUUGGCUUAGAAGCAGCCAUCAUUUAAAGAAAGCGUAAUAGCUCACUGGUCGAGUCGGCCUGCGCGGAAGAUGUAACGGGGCUAAACCAUGCACCGAAGCUGCGGCAGCGACACUAUGUGUUGUUGGGUAGGGGAGCGUUCUGUAAGCCUGUGAAGGUGGCCUGUGAGGGUUGCUGGAGGUAUCAGAAGUGCGAAUGCUGACAUAAGUAACGAUAAAGCGGGUGAAAAGCCCGCUCGCCGGAAGACCAAGGGUUCCUGUCCAACGUUAAUCGGGGCAGGGUGAGUCGACCCCUAAGGCGAGGCCGAAAGGCGUAGUCGAUGGGAAACGGGUUAAUAUUCCCGUACUUGGUGUUACUGCGAAGGGGGGACGGAGAAGGCUAUGUUGGCCGGGCGACGGUUGUCCCGGUUUAAGCGUGUAGGUGUGUGUUCCAGGUAAAUCCGGUUCACUUUAACACUGAGGCGUGAUGACGAGGCACUACGGUGCUGAAGCAACAAAUGCCCUGCUUCCAGGAAAAGCCUCUAAGCAUCAGGUAACAUCAAAUCGUACCCCAAACCGACACAGGUGGUCAGGUAGAGAAUACCAAGGCGCUUGAGAGAACUCGGGUGAAGGAACUAGGCAAAAUGGUGCCGUAACUUCGGGAGAAGGCACGCUGACACGUAGGUGAAGUGAUUUACUCAUGGAGCUGAAGUCAGUCGAAGAUACCAGCUGGCUGCAACUGUUUAUUAAAAACACAGCACUGUGCAAACACGAAAGUGGACGUAUACGGUGUGACGCCUGCCCGGUGCCGGAAGGUUAAUUGAUGGGGUCAGCGCAAGCGAAGCUCCUGAUCGAAGCCCCGGUAAACGGCGGCCGUAACUAUAACGGUCCUAAGGUAGCGAAAUUCCUUGUCGGGUAAGUUCCGACCUGCACGAAUGGCGUAAUGAUGGCCAGGCUGUCUCCACCCGAGACUCAGUGAAAUUGAACUCGCUGUGAAGAUGCAGUGUACCCGCGGCAAGACGGAAAGACCCCGUGAACCUUUACUAUAGCUUGACACUGAACAUUGAGCCUUGAUGUGUAGGAUAGGUGGGAGGCUUUGAAGUGUGGACGCCAGUCUGCAUGGAGCCGACCUUGAAAUACCACCCUUUAAUGUUUGAUGUUCUAACGUGGACCCGUAAUCCGGGUUGCGGACAGUGUCUGGUGGGUAGUUUGACUGGGGCGGUCUCCUCCUAAAGAGUAACGGAGGAGCACGAAGGUUGGCUAAUCCUGGUCGGACAUCAGGAGGUUAGUGCAAUGGCAUAAGCCAGCUUGACUGCGAGCGUGACGGCGCGAGCAGGUGCGAAAGCAGGUCAUAGUGAUCCGGUGGUUCUGAAUGGAAGGGCCAUCGCUCAACGGAUAAAAGGUACUCCGGGGAUAACAGGCUGAUACCGCCCAAGAGUUCAUAUCGACGGCGGUGUUUGGCACCUCGAUGUCGGCUCAUCACAUCCUGGGGCUGAAGUAGGUCCCAAGGGUAUGGCUGUUCGCCAUUUAAAGUGGUACGCGAGCUGGGUUUAGAACGUCGUGAGACAGUUCGGUCCCUAUCUGCCGUGGGCGCUGGAGAACUGAGGGGGGCUGCUCCUAGUACGAGAGGACCGGAGUGGACGCAUCACUGGUGUUCGGGUUGUCAUGCCAAUGGCACUGCCCGGUAGCUAAAUGCGGAAGAGAUAAGUGCUGAAAGCAUCUAAGCACGAAACUUGCCCCGAGAUGAGUUCUCCCUGAGACUUUAGGUCUCCUGAAGGAACGUUGAAGACGACGACGUUGAUAGGCCGGGUGUGUAAGCGCAGCGAUGCGUUGAGCUAACCGGUACUAAUGAACCGUGAGGCUUAACCUU